CAUAGCGACUAUCGUGGCAUAUCAAUAAGCGGAGGAAAAGAAACUAACAAGGAUUCCCCUAGUAACGGCGAGUGAAGCGGGAAGAGCUCAAAUUUGAAAUCUUAAAGGUAUUCCCUUGACGAAUUGUAGUUUAAAGAAGUGUUUUCUGUUGGAGUUUCGGUAAAAGUUCUUUGGAAUAGGACAUCAUAGAGGGUGAGAAUCCCGUAUUUGACCAUUAUUUCCAGCUGUGUGAUACACUUUCAAAGAGUCGGAUUGUUUGGGAAUGCAGUCCAAAAUGGGUGGUAAAUUUCAUCUAAAGUUAAAUAUUGGCGAGAGACCGAUAGCGAACAAGUACCGUGAGGGAAAGAUGAAAAGAACUUUGAAAAGAGAGUUAAACAGUACGUGAAAUUGUCAAAAGGGAAGCGUUUGACACCAGUGUUGUUUAGUUGAAAAUCAAUUUAAUAAUUUUUGAUUUUAAGUAGUAUUGACUUCAUCAGCUUGCUGCUUUUUUCUCGAAAAUUAUUGAAUGCACUUUUCAGUUAACAAGUCAACAUCAAUUUCUUUUGUUGUAAAAGGGUAAGAGGAAGGUGGCUUGCGCUUCGGCUCAAGUGUUUAUAGCCUUUUACCUCUGCAAUCGGAGAGAUUGAGGUCUGCAGCGUAGACUCUUCGGGGUUAGAUACAUUUAUGCUAAGCUAUAGCCUUGUAUAGACAACUUGUUGACUAUGCUCAGUCAUGUAGCUUACUCGUAGAUGCUAUUUUACCUACGCUUAGGAUGUUGACGAGACUGUCGAUCUC
rnacentral:rRNA from 1 species